AUCAUACUACUACUCAAGAUAGGCUGGGUUAUGCUGUGGUAGAAAAUUUAAUCCAGUGCCUCAGAGGUUAGACACAACAAAGGUUUUUGGUUUUGCAUCAAACUACGUGUUCAAGCUACAUCACCUUGUGAUGCUGCCAUCCUAGCAUUUGGCUUCCAGAAGGAGAGAGCUGGACAGUUACACAAGAGCUUUUCUCUACUUGGACUCACACUGGCCAGAGCUAAUCACAUGGUCCACUAAACUGCAAAGAGCAAUUUUCUGUGUGCCCAGGAAGCAGAAGAGACCCAGUUUUUGGUGGGAACUUCUGUGACACAUUUCCUGCAUCUCCUCAGAAGAUUUCACAGAACUGAGUGGCAGUCUUCUGAAGCAGCGACCAACUGAGGAGCACACCUUUCUACUGGCCUUUCUUCUUCCUUUUUGGCUCUCCUGUCCCUCCUUCUUGCUCCCUGAGAUCACUUCCCAAAUACAGUAUCUGCUACUUGUCUCAA